rnacentral:lncRNA from 1 species
GGAUUGUAAAAACCAGAGAACCAAAGGUCUAGAAGUCAAUGUAAUUGCAAAACUAAUGUUUAUUUGAUAGGGACAUAAACUAAGAUCCCACAAAUGGACACCUCAAUUAAUUGUGAAAGGGAGUUUUAACGUGAAUAGACGGUGUUAGUAACCUCACAAGUCAUGGGAGUCACCAUUCUGACAGGACGUGAUUGGAUUUUUUUUUACAUCCGUUACAGCC